rnacentral:tRNA from 1 species
GCCUGGGUGGCUCAGUCGGUUAAGCGUCUGACUUCAGCUCAGGUCAUGAUCUCGCGGUCCGUGAGUUCGAGCCCCGCGUCGGGCU